rnacentral:rRNA from 1 species
GAGCCGCAACCCUCGACCUUAGUUGCCAGCAUUCAGUUGGCACUCUAAGGUGACUGCCGGCUAAAAGUCGGAGGAAGGUCGGGAUGACGUCAAAUCAUCAUGCCCUUAUGACCUGGGCUACACACGUGCUACAAUGGGCGGUACAAAGGGUCGCGAAACCCGCGACGGGGAGCCAAUCCCAAAAAAGCCGCUCUCAGUUCGGAUUGCAGGCUGCAACUCGCCUGCAUGAAGCCGGAAUCGCUAGUAAUCGCGGAUCAGCAUGCCGCGGUGAAUACGUUCCCGGGCCUU